GACCCAAUCAUUCCUCAUACUCCAAAUAGCCCAAGCUCCUACAACAAAACAACACCACAACACUCUAAUAUCUGAUCUCCUCUGAUUCUGAAAAAGAUUCAGAAGAUCGUUUUUAGAAGUAGGGACCGUAUUCCACCUAAAAGCAUCUCUAUAACAGCAUUAGAGAAAACAAGCCGGUGGGCACCUGAACAUGAGGUGAUUUGUAUCCUUUUCCAAGCCACACAGCUUGCAGAGAGGGCUACCUGGCCAGUUCAUUUUUUUGAGCUAUUUAGCUACUUGGAUUCUCCCUUUCAACAUCACCCACAUAAACACUCUUGUUUUUAGGGGGGGGGGGGGGUUGGGGAUUUCCAAAGUUCCUGAAGCAUAAUGUCUUUAACACCCCCAAAAACAAUUUCCUUGUAUAGGGAUUUUGUUGUAAAUUUCCCAGAUUGGUUCAGUUUCCACACCAUAAUAUUUCUCUCUGUUGUUAGCUGGACUGUACCAAGUAAGUCCUGCAACCUUAGCCAGUCAGGUAGUUCAUCUUGACCUAAAGAUCUCCUAAGAUUCAAUUUCCCACUCCCCUUCAGACAACAUUUGUUUUACAGUCUUGUCAGGGCCACUGUAGAUACUGUGAAUGUAAGGGAAUUGGAUUUUCAAAGGAGACUCCCCUAACCAAAUAUCAUCAGAACUGGAUAGACUCCCCACAACCAAUUUUAUAUGCACUGCCAAAUUUCGUCCACCUUUUCACUUCAUGAAGUCCUUUCCAAAAUUGUGAGCACCCUUCGGCAGAAGAUUGGAAAAACCCUCCCCCAUUUGAGAAGUAUUUUUCCUAAGCAAUUCACAACAAGGGCUGGUAUUGCCAGAUUCUAAUUUAUAAAUCCAUUUGCAAAGAAGAGCUUCAUUCAUUACUCUAGUAUUAAUAAAGCCAAGACCUCCAUCUUCUUUGGGUCUGCAAAGGGCAUCCCAUCUAAUCAUGUGGUAUUUUUUCUUUCCAUCCAAACCUUCCCAAAAGAACCUAGCUCUGAUAGCAUCCAUCUUAUGAUGAACCUGUGCUGGUAGUAAGUAGAAUCCCAUCAUAUACAUAGGGAUGCUGGAGAGAAGAAAUUGAUUAGAAUGGAUUUGCCCCCAUAAGGUAGAAAGCUACACUUCCAUGUAGCUAAUCUUUUUUCUAUUUUUGAGACUGGGAUUGACAAAUCUUUUGCUAUCAACUUCAGAUCACUGACAGGCAUCCCCAAAUAAGUGAUAGGCCACUAUGACUUUGAGGUUUUAGCUUUUGGACAUGCCAAAAGUCAAUCUUUGGAGAAACACACUAUCAAAAUAUGGUAAUUUACCAUCGGACAUCGCACCCAUUAAAAUAUUAAUUUCUUGUUGGAUGGGAGAGAGAAACAACAUAAAGAGUAAAUAAUACCCUUAGACUCACUUGUCAUAUUCAAGCUCUUCCUUUCUACUACCUUCAUAUUUUAAUGUAUGACGUCGUUGAUUUUUUGUCCAACGUUUGACCAUUCGUCUUAUUCAAAAAAUUUAUAUAAUUAUUAUUUAUUUUAUUGUGACUUGAUUCAUCAUCAAAUGUUCUUUAAGCAUGACAUAAAUAUUUUCAUAUAUUUGCACAAAAUUUUUAAAUAAUACGAAUGGUCAAACGUUGGUCGAAAGGUUAACAACGUCAUACAUUAAAAUACGGACGGAGUAUUUCCUCUUUCCUUUAUACUUCCUUCUCCUUUCCAGGUGAGCAACGGCAUGCCUGGUGUGUGCUUGCACGGCGUGAUGCACUACAGCCAUGCAUGGCGAGGUAGUCCAGUGCGAGGGAGCUGGCCUGGUGCAUGGCCCGUCGUAUGACGUACGUGUUUGUGGAGUGCAAGAGGAGAGCAAGCUAGACGGGGCCGUAGCGGGAGAGCAAGGGAGGGUGCAGCAGGGAGCUGAGACGCGCGCACGGCCGGUGGCAACGACGACAGCAACGUCUCGCCGGUAGCACCGCAUCGUCUCAACGUUAGUCCUUGUCCGGGAACACAUUUUGACGCGCGCACCUGGUCACGUUCACCACCGGAGCUCAGUGCUGAUGUUUCUCUCUCUCCCCCGGGACCGUUCCCGUCAUUUUGAUCCUCCUCAUUGCUGGCUGCCGCCACCUAUGAAAGAGUCACACCAUAAGACACACUCAGCCGCCGCCAUCACGGCCGUUCCCUUGCUGGAGUCGUGACGCCCGGCCUCACCCAUCUCUCCGCUGCUCGUUUCUGGAUCGAUCUAAGAAAGAAGAUGAACAGUGCCAAGUCACUGUUUAGACUGAGUAAUCAAUCCAUAAUAAAACCGGCAUGUGUGAUGGGAGAUCCGAAAAGUGGGCCCAAGGGUACUUUAGAACUUUCACAUGGUUUCUGUAAAAUCAAAGAUGUUUUUUUAUUAUUAUUCUGUGAUGAACAAUUGGGCAUUGGAGUUUA